rnacentral:rRNA from 1 species
GGUGGAGCGAUUUGUCUGGUUAAUUCCGAUAACGAACGAGACUCUGGCCUAUUAAAUAGACGGUAUAUUUAAAAGUAUAUCGCACUUCUUAGAGGGACAAGCGGCGUCUAGCCGCAUGAAAUAGAGCAAUAACAGGUCUGUGAUGCCCUUAGAUGUCCGGGGCUGCACGCGCGCUACACUGAAAGAAUCAGUGUGCGUGAUACCUAGUUCGGAAGGACUGGGUAACCCAAGUAAAUUCUUUCGUGCUUGGGAUAGGGAAUUGCAAUUAUUUCCCUUAAACGAGGAAUUCCCAGUAAAUGCGGGUCAUAAGCUCGCGUUGAU